GAUGAACGCUGGCGGCGUGCCUAAUACAUGCAGGUCGAGCGAACGGACGAGAAGCUUGCUUCUCUGAUGUUAGCGGCGGACGGGUGAGUAACACGUGGAUAACCUACCUAUAAGACUGGGAUAACUUCGGGAAACCGGAGCUAAUACCGGAUAAUAUUUUGAACCGCAUGGUUCAAAAGUGAAAGACGGUCUUGCUGUCACUUAUAGAUGGAUCCGCGCUGCAUUAGCUAGUUGGUAAGGUAACGGCUUACCAAGGCAACGAUGCAUAGCCGACCUGAGAGGGUGAUCGGCCACACUGGAACUGAGACACGGUCCAGACUCCUACGGGAGGCAGCAGUAGGGAAUCUUCCGCAAUGGGCGAAAGCCUGACGGAGCAACGCCGCGUGAGUGAUGAAGGUCUUCGGAUCGUAAAACUCUGUUAUUAGGGAAGAACAUAUGUGUAAGUAACUGUGCACAUCUGGACGGUACCUAAUCAGAAAGCCACGGCUAACUACGU
rnacentral:rRNA from 1 species